GCCAACUUGCGAGAGUGAGCGAAUCCCAAAAAGUGCGUCGUAGUCCGGAUCGGAGUCUGCAACUCGACUCCGUGAAGUCGGAAUCGCUAGUAAUCGUGGAUCAGAAUGCCACGGUGAAUACGUUCCCGGGCCUUGUACACACCGCCCGUCACACCAUGGGAGUGGGCUGCAAAAGAAGUAGGUAGUUUAACCUUCGGGAGGACGCUUACCACUUUGUGGUUCAUGACUGGGGUGAAGUCGUAACAAGGUAGCGCUAGGGGAACCUGGCGCUGGAUCACCUCCUUA
rnacentral:rRNA from 1 species